rnacentral:rRNA from 1 species
UACGAAGGGGGCUAGCGUUGCUCGGAAUCACUGGGCGUAAAGCGCACGUAGGCGGAUUGUAAGUCAGGGGUGAAAUCCUGGAGCUCAACUCCAGAACUGCCUUUGAUACUGGCGAUCUUGAGUCCGGGAGAGGUGAGUGGAACUGCGAGUGUAGAGGUGAAAUUCGUAGAUAUUCGCAAGAACACCAGUGGCGAAGGCGGCUCACUGGCCCGGUACUGACGCUGAGGUGCGAAAGCGUGGGGAGCAAACAGG